GUCAUUGUCAUUGUCACCGUGUCAUUGUCAUCGUCAUCGUGUCAUUGUCAUCGUCAUCGUCAUUGUGUCACCGGCAUUGUCACCGCAUCGUCAUUGCCAUCAUCAUCAUCAUUGUGUCAUUGUCAUUGUCACCGUGUCCUUGUCACCGUGUCAUUGUCAUUGUCAUUGUCAUCGCGUCAUCGUCAUUGUCACCGUGUCAUUGUCACCGUGUCAUUGUCAUUGUCAUCAUGUCAUUGCCAUUGUCACCGUCAUUGUC
rnacentral:lncRNA from 1 species